AAUGACAUCUCCUUAAUCGGAGAGUUCCCUUCGGGGACAUUGGUGACAGGUGGUGCAUGGUUGUCGUCAGCUCGUGUCGUGAGAUGUUGGGUUAAGUCCCGCAACGAGCGCAACCCUUGUCUUUAGUUGCCAUCAUUAAGUUGGGCACUCUAGAGAGACUGCCAGGGAUAACCUGGAGGAAGGUGGGGAUGACGUCAAAUCAUCAUGCCCCUUAUGCUUAGGGCUACACACGUGCUACAAUGGGUAGUACAGAGGGUUGCCAAGCCGUAAGGUGGAGCUAAUCCCUUAAAGCUACUCUCAGUUCGGAUUGUAGGCUGAAACUCGCCUACAUGAAGCUGGAGUUACUAGUAAUCGCAGAUCAGAAUGCUGCGGUGAAUGCGUUCCCGGGUCUUGUACACACCGCCCGUCACACCACGGGAGUUGGAGACGCCCGAAGCCGAUUAUCUAACCUUUUGGAAGAAGUCGUCGAAGGUGGAAUCAAUAACUGGGGUGAAGUCGUAACAAGGUAGCCGUAUCGGAAGGUGCGGCUGGAUCACCUCCUUUCUAAGGAGA
rnacentral:rRNA from 6 species